UUGUACUUUUAAAUAAGUAAGAGUUUAUGGUGGAUGCCUUGGGUCUGGAAGUCGAUGAAGGACGUGAUUACCUGCGAUAAGCCUCGUGGAGCUGGAUAUGAGCUACGAAACGGGGAUUUCCGAAUGGGGAAACCUAACCGAAGUAAUGUUCGGUUGCCUUGUAAUGAAUAAAAUAGUUACUUGAGCGAGACACGUUGUGAACUGAAACAUCUUAGUAGCAACAGGAAGAGAAAAUAAAUAAUGAUUCUAUCAGUAGCGGCGAGCGAACGUAGAAGAGCCCAAACCAACGAAUGUUGGGGUUGUAGGACAAUCUACAUGAAGUUACAAAUCUAUAUCAUAGCAGAAAGAGUUGGGAAACUCUGGCAUAGAAAGUGAAACCCUUGUAUGCGAAAUGGUAUGGACUUCUGAUUGUAUCCUGAGUAGGGCGGGGCACGUGAAACCCUGUCUGAAUCUGCCGGGACCAUCCGGUAAGGCUAAAUACUAACCAGACACCGAUAGUGAACUAGUACCGUGAGGGAAAGGUGAAAAGAACCCCGGGAGGGGAGUGAAAUAGAUUCUGAAACCAUUUACUUACAAUUAGUCAGAGCCCGUUAAUGGGUGAUGGCGUACAUCUUGCAGUAUGGACCGGCGAGUUAUGUUAACAUGCGAGGUUAAGUGGAAAAAAACGGAGCCGCAGAGAAAUCGAGUCUUAAUAGGGCGUUUAGUAUGUUGAUAUAUACCCGAAACCAUGUGAUCUAUUCAUGAGCAGACUGAAGCUUGGCUAACCCCAAGUGGAGGGUCGAACCGUAGUACGCUGAAAAGUGCCCGGAUGACUUGUGAAUAGUGGAGAAAUUCCAAUCGAACUUGGAGAUAGCUGGUUCUCCUCGAAAUAGCUUUAGGGCUAGCGUGUGAUGUUAAACUUUGGUGGUAGAGCACUGAAUAUGGAAUGGCCGCGCCUAGCGGUACUGACUAUAAUCAAACUCCGAAUACCAUUGUGUAUUGUCAUGCAGUCGGAACCGGGGUGCUAACGUCCCGGCUCGCGAGGGAAACAACCCAGAUCGUCAGCUAAGGUCCCAAAAUCGUGUUAAGUCAGAAAGGUUGUGAGAUUUCAUAAACAACUAGGAGGUUGGCUUAGAAGCAGCCAUCCUUUAAAGAGUGCGUAAUAGCUCACUAGUCAAGAGAUCUUGCGCCAAUAAUGUAACGGGAGUCAAACACGAUACCGAAGCUACGGGUACAUCUGUACGUUAGAGGAGCGUUCCUAGGGCGGUGAAGCUAAACCGUGAGGAUUAGUGGAGCGUUAGGAAGUGAGAAUGCCGGUAUGAGUAACGAUUCGUGGUGAGAAUCCACGACGCCUAUUGGGAAAGGUUUCCUGGGGAAGGUUCGUCCACCCAGGGUUAGUCAGGACCUAAGGAGAGGCUGAAAAGCGUAUCCGAUGGAUAACAGGUUAAUAUUCCUGUACUAUCUAUAAUUAGUGAUGGAAUGACGGAGAAGGAUAACAAUACCCAUUAUUGGAUUUGGGGGUAAGCAACGACUGGUCAAUGUAGUUAAAUGCGCAUUGUAUAACCGGGAUUUGUGAUGCAUAGUGAUUUAUUUCACGAAUUUUGUGAUUCCAUGCUUCCAAGAAAAGUUUCUAAGCGUUAUAAAAUUAUAGGUACCUGUACCGAGAACGGACACACGUUCCCAAGAUGAGUAUUCUAAGGCGAGCGAGAAAACCAAUGUUAAGGAACUCUGCAAAUUGACCCCGUAAGUUCGCGAGAAGGGGCGCCCAUUUUGAUGGGCCACAGUAAAUUUUGAGGGGCAACUGUUUAUCAAAAACACAGCUCUCUGCUAAACCGCAAGGUGAUGUAUAGGGGGUGAAGCCUGCCCAGUGCCCGAAGGUUAAAUGGAUGCGUUAGCCUAUGCGAAGCGUUGAAAUGAAGCCCGGGUGAACGGCGGCCGUAACUAUAACGGUCCUAAGGUAGCGAAAUUCCUUGUCGGCUAAAUACUGACCUGCACGAAAGGCGCAAUGAUCUCUCAACUGUCUCAACAUUGGACUCGGUGAAAUUAUGGUCCCAGUGAAAACGCUGGGUACCCGCAUCAAGACGAAAAGACCCCAUGGAGCUUUACUACAACUUCGUAUUGGAACUUGGCCUAACAUGUGUAGGAUAGGUGGGAGACUAUGAGAUUAUGACGCUAGUCAUAAAGGAGUCAACCUUGAAAUACCACCCUUGGUAUGUUGAGUUUCUAACUUGCCGCCGUUAUCCGGUGGGAGGACAGUGCGUGGUGGGUAGUUUGACUGGGGCGGUCGCCUCCUAAAAGGUAACGGAGGCGUUCAAAGGUACACUCAAUACGGUCAGAAACCGUAUGCAGAGCGCAAAGGUAGAAGUGUGCUUGACUGCGAGACCUACAAGUCGAGCAGGUGCGAAAGCAGGACUUAGUGAUCCGGCUGUACGUCAUGGAACGGCAGUCGCUCAACGGAUAAAAGUUACCCUGGGGAUAACAGGCUUAUCUUGCCCAAGAGAUCACAUCGACGGCAAGGUUUGGCACCUCGAUGUCGGCUCAUCGCAUCCUGGAGCUGGAGUCGGUUCCAAGGGUUUGGCUGUUCGCCAAUUAAAGCGGUACGCGAGCUGGGUUCAGAACGUCGUGAGACAGUUCGGUCCCUAUCUGAUGUGGGCGUUGGAAUAUUGAUGAGAGCUGCUCUUAGUACGAGAGGACCGGAGUGGACACACCGCUGGUGUUCCUGUUGUUUCGCCAGAAGCAUAGCAGGGUAGCUAAGUGUGGAAAGGAUAACCGCUGAAAGCAUCUAAGUGGGAAGCCUCCUCAGAGAUAAGUAUUCCCUUGAAAUUCCUUGUAGACUACGAGGUUGAUAGGAUGGAAGUGUACGUGUAGUAAUACAUUCAGCUGACCAUUACUAAUAAAUUGAUAGGUUUAAAAGUAA
rnacentral:rRNA from 2 species